AACUCAGGAAUUUCGAAAUAAGAAUAUGGAGAAAGCAAAUCUUGGAGAGAUUCGUAUAGUGAAUGAAGCACAGAGAGAAGCUGUGAUGGAAGCACGUUUUGGAGCACUGUGAGUAACCCUAACAAUGACCACAUUUGUGGUAAUAUCUCCAUUUUUCUUUUUUUGCUUGAAAAUUUCUGUGUUGUUAGUUGUGAAUAUUAGAAUAGAUUGUGAAUUGUUUCUUUUUGGUUUUGUUUAUAUAUAUAUACGUUGCAUAAAAGAAGGAACAAGGUCUGGUAAAGGUUACUGUUUUGUGUUGGUUUGUGUAUGAAAAAGAAGGGUUAAAUAAACAUUGUAUUGUAGAGGAGGAUAAAGUUAAAGGUAAAGAUGAUUAAGUCGACAACUUUGCUUUUUUGCUUUUGCUUUGUUCGUUUGUAGAUGUGGUUGAUUUUGUUUGUUCAUGGAAUUAAGCUCAUCUAUGAAGUGUGUGUUUAUACUUAACACAUGCAUUGCCUUAGUACAGAAUCUCAGAAAAUGUAAAUUUAUGUUUGCCAAAGGUUCUUUCUUCCAUUUUGUUUAGUUUGUGUUUGUUUAUGUGAUGACAAAAAUUGGUUUUGAAUGAAUUGAUUUUGUUGAACGUGAAGUGAUUUAUGUUUGGAUACAUUCACGUGGAAGUGAGUUGAACAAUAUUGGGUGUACAAAUCACGUUUGCAGUCAAAAGUUACAUAUCCUAGCUUCAAACUAUAAUCAAUUGUGGAGGCAAAAUCAAUUUUAUUUUAUUUUAUUUUAUUUUGAUCGACAAAUGUUAGUAGUUAGUAAUUAGUUAGGGAUAAUUUGUUUGCAUUAGGGGUUUAACUUGAAUCUUUUUCAUGACACUACAUUAGCGUCCCGAUCCAACCAUUAGGCUACACUUUUAGGGACAAAAUCAAUUAUAUUUGAUAACAUCCAAACAUGUUAUGCCUCUAGAAUCAGUUUUGAUCUUCAGUGUAAUGUAACCAAAAUCAAUUACAUGAAGCAUGCAUUUCUUUGUGUUUGGCUCAUAAACCAAAAUCAAUGAAAAAUGCCUGUUUUUGCUAAUGGUUCAAUUUCAACCUUCGUCAACUAUUGUUUUUACCAUCUUUUUCUGGAUUGUUUUCUUCACAUUGUAUGUUAUGUGGUGCACUUACUUGUUUUGGUUUGCAUUGAGCUUUAGGAUAUUCGUAGCAACGCAUCCUUUGAUAGGAACCUGCUUCUAUCAUCCUCUAACACACUCACUCAUAUUUGAUUGAAGUUCAAAUGAGUCUUACUAAAUUGAAUAAGUCUAAGGGGGUGGAAGCCCCUACAGAAUUUCCAAAUUUCGUUAGUCCCUUAUAUUAAAUAAUCUGAUAGUAUUUUUUUUUCCCAAUUUAACAAUAAUUUUAAAGGUUCAAUAUUUAUCUUGAUGUGACAUGAGACUAUUUGUCUUAUAUUGGCUUAGAUGGAUGUUUCUUAAAGAGAUAUUUUGGUUAAGGGGAUUAAAUUGUUAUUUUACAAAUUUGCCCACUGCCAUGGUGAGUUUAGGAGUGUCUCACCAUGAAUUUUAGAAGCUACAAUUAAGGGGAUUAAAUUGUUAUUUUACAAAUUUGCCCACCGCCACUGUGAGUUUAGGAGUGUCUCACAGUGAAUUUUAGAAGCUACAAUGUGUAGCUUUUGGCCCACCGUGAUUUUUAUGUUUUCCAAACACUAUAAAUUACUUACAAUUUCAAAGACCCAAAUACUACUUUAAUCAAUUUGUUUUAGUUGGCCCCUCUGUGAUGCAAGUCUGCCUUCACACCUAUGUCGAUCCCACACAAAUUUGACGAGAUUGGUAUGAAUUUCAAUUAAUAGAAGAUAAUGUGUUGAGAAGAGUGUAUUAUUAUACUAUUAUUCAGUCUAGUUUUACAAGCAUCUUGGUUUUGUGAGUUGUAACUAAUGCCUACAAUAAGGCCAUAAGUUCACAAUUCACACGUGGUAACUAGCUUUAGUUAAAGUUCAUCAAGGGAUAAUAGCAGCAUCUAUGCCAACACAUGGUGAAAGUGUAUGAUAUGGUGGGCAUGCAGGGGAUCUUGUGGAGUGGAAACUGCUUUUGUACUUUCUUGACAAAUCACACUUUAUCCUUUACCUUCUUUGUUCUUGUAAUUUGUGCAUUCAGAAGUCAGUGAAUGUUCUUUUGUAUUAUUACAACACAUCAGUCACUCAUCAUAUGAGUAUCGAGUAGGAGAUGAUAAUGAGGGGGGUGAUGAUUAUGUACUCUUGAUUAUUUUCAUGUUUUACUGCACCAUAUCAGUUCAAAUUGUUAUGGAUGAACCCAUUAAGUACCUAGUGUAUGUUUGGUUCCAAUUUUAGAGCAAGCAAAAUUGAAUCUAGAGGUCUAAAAUUGAUUUUGAGAUGUUUGGUUAUUCUCGAGUAGAGAUUUUACCUCUAGAGUUGAUUAUGCAUGUGUUUGGUUUUGAGUUUGAGGUUUCAAACUCACGUACAUUAUUCAAUUUGUCGUGAUUUCAGAGAAGCUAUUAAACUAAGCUUAUAUAUGAGUGUGGAAAAGUCACCAUGAUUUUAAGCAAAUGUGAAAAGUUGAACGUGUAACCCAACAUGUUAUCUGACUUGAAGUUAGAAUUUAUAGUUUUUACCUCUAAAAUUGAUUUUAUUUUUGAGCCUUAGAUUUAUCAUUCAACUCACUUUCACAUCAAUGUAUUCUAAUAUAAAUCGAUUUAUCUUCAACUCAGAUUUAACUAAAAUCAAUUUUACAGAAUUAAUUCAUUCAAAAUUAAUUUUUGUCUCCACAAAACCAAACAUCUAGUCAAUUAUUUUUUAUUUUUGCAUCUUUUCAUUAUUUUCUUAUCUUUCUUUGUACUUUUGGGACUAUGGCAUAUGGCAAUAAUGAGGUUAGAUUUCAAUGAACAAGUAUGUAAAUUGACAGUAUUCUAUUCAAAAACAAUAUGCCCAAAUGCAAACUUUGUUGAUGAUUUGGUUUGGCAAUUCUAUAUAUGCAUCGAACUUUUUCAAUUCAUUAUUUUAUGCUUUUACCUAUUGGUAUGCUUAGCGGUGAGAUUGUGAUAUAUAGAUCUUAAAGUAAUGCAAAUGCAUGGGGGUAUUCUUUCUUGUGCAUUACAUUUCUUUUAUAUCUUUAUUACAUGCUUGUGCUUUUGAAACAAAGUUUAAUUUAUGCUUCUUUACAAAAAUUUGUCUAAAUCUUCUUUUUACUAAAGCAAAACAAUUUGCACCAUCAGAUUUAUAAUCCUGUGGUGUUGGGCUAUUAUUCCUAUCUAAUCUUUGUUACCCCUUCAAUGGUUUUAGGUAUCCACUCAUAAAAAUGGUUGAUAUUUUGAGAAAGGGAACAUGUAAAGAGAAAAUAAAAGGGGUGAGAAAAAGAAAAAGAGGCAUGUGUAUGGGCAUUAAAAGCCACGAAUAUGUAAGAUAGGCAAAAAAUUCAGUGUAGGUCAGCCUUGAGAGAAAGCUAUGCUUAAAUGGGGGUAUCAAGAAUAAAGCCAAACAAAGUGUUCUAGUGGAAUGUCAAUGAUCAAAGGGAUCAUAUUCCAUCUAUGCAUUAUGGUUCAUUGCAAGAUCGAUUCAUUAAGAGAACAGAUAACAGAUUAGAGUAUUAAGCAGAGCAGUGUUAUCUGUAGCAGAAGUUCUAAAUCAAGCUGCACUUAUUAUGUACUAGAUUGAGAGAUUGCAUUUCACCUAUGCUGUAUAAGCUUAGUUGAUUAUAUGGUGUCCAACUAUUUGAGUGUAAUGUAAUUAUUAUUUUGUAUUAAUAUUAAUUUGUUAAUUAAAGUGUAGGUCAGCAUUGAGCGAAUGCUCUGCUUUUUAAUUGGGGUAUCCGAAUAAAGUCUAAAGUUGAUUCUCCCCGAAUGUCAAUAAUUAAAUGGAACAUAAGAGAAAACCAAAUUGCUCCCAUGAAAAAGUAGGGGUCGGACAUCAUUUGAAGAUUUGGAAAUAUGCAAAAAUAGCAUUUUGAAAUUGAAGGAUGUUGGAUAAUAUAGUCCUUCUAUUAGUUUGUUUUGUUAAUGAAUGUCAAUGGCUUAUGUGACAAACUCAAAUGUUACCCAACUUAUUGUCAAGUAAGAGAUAAGCUAAUUCUUCUGAUUUUAGAAUACAAGCGAUUAAUUUGCCCGAUUUAAAAAAAAAUUGAAGUUCAUUUUUUGAUGAAAAAAUUUGAAACUCUACCAUCAUUUCACGUG
rnacentral:lncRNA from 1 species